rnacentral:tRNA from 1 species
GGUGCUGUAGCUUAGUGGUAGAGCUCAUGUCUUGUAUGUGUGAGGAACUGGGUUUGAUCCUCAGCACUA